ACGGCUCAGUAACACGUGGAUAACGUGCCCUAGAGUGGAGGAUAAUCUCGGGAAAUUGAGGAUAAUACUCCAUAGAUCAUAGGAUCUGGAAUGACUUAUGGUCGAAAGUUCCGGCGCUUCAGGAUUGGUCUGCGGCCUAUCAGGUCGUAGUGGGUGUAACGGACCCACUAGCCGACGACGGGUAUGGGCCUUGAGAGAGGGAGCCCAGAGAUGGAUUCUGAGACACGAAUCCAGGCCCUACGGGGCGCAGCAGUCGCGAAAACUUCACACUGGAGGCAACUCCGAUGAGGGAAUUCCUAGUGCUAGCACAUUAGUGCUAGCUUUUCUUAAGCGUAGAUAACUUAAGGAAUAAGGGCUGGGUAAGACGGGUGCCAGCCGCCGCGGUAAUACCCGCAGCCCAAGUGGUGGUCGAUUUUAUUGAGUCUAAAACGUUCGUAGCCGGUUUGGUAAAUCCUUGGGUAAAUCGAGAGGCUUAACUUUUCGAAUUCCGAGGAGACUGCCAAACUUGGGACCGGGAGAGGCGAGAGGUACUUCUGGGGUAGGGGUAAAAUCCUGUAAUCCUAGAAGGACCACCGGUGGCGAAGGCGUCUCGCUAGAACGGAUCCGACGGUGAGGGACGAAGCCCUGGGUCGCAAACGGGAUUAGAUACCCCGGUAGUCCAGGGUGUAAACGCUGCAGACUUGGUGUUGGGGGCCCUACGGGGGCGUUCAGUGCCGGAGAGAAGUUGUUAAGUCUGCUACUUGGGGAGUACGUCCGCAAGGAUGAAACUUAAAGGAAUUGGCGGGGGAGA
rnacentral:rRNA from 1 species